rnacentral:rRNA from 1 species
UAAAAAGGGUCUGUGACGGAUGCCUCAAGAGGAAGGGGCGAUGAAGGACGUGGCGUGCCUGCGAUAAGCCUCGGGGAGGUGGCUAGCAACCUGUGAUCCGGGGAUCUCCGAAUGGGGAAACCCAAGCCGUGCUCAACACGGCUUACGCCGUGCUUCGCACGGAAAUUCGAAGCACGAAAUCCGAAAUCCGAAACAAAUUCAAAAUUCAAAAUUCAAAUGCCCAAAACAAGUUUUGAAUUUUGGUCAUUUAGAUUUUGAUAUUGUUUCGAAUUUCGAUAUUCGAAUUUCGAGUUUCCGUGCGGAGCACGGUGGGCGAACCCGGGGAAGUGAAACAUCUCAGUACCCGGAGGAAAAGAAAACAAUGCCAGGGCUGUCCAAAUUUUCAAGUCGAAGACGUAGAAAAUUUGGAAACAGACCUGAGCACCCAGCCGUAAUUUUGCCGCACAAAUGAGGGCAAAGCCCAGCACCACUUCGGGCUAUAUAGCCCAGAGUGGUGCUGGGCUUUGCGAGAGAAAUCAGGAUUUAUUCUCAAUAAUUAGAAUAACCUUGAUUUUGUGAAGCAAAAUUACGGCUGGGUCAAGGUUUUGUUGCCAAAAAUUCUUCGCCUUUUAAGGCUUGAAUUUUUGGACAAAGCCCUUGAUUCCCUGAGUAGUGGCGAGCGAAAGGGGAACAGCCCAAACUCAUUCGUUCGUGCCUCACUGCGUUCGGCACAAAUUCAUGUAACAUGUAACAUGUAACACGCAACAUAAAUUCAUGUAACAUGUAACACGCAACAUAUAAAUAAUUUAUAUUGUUACAUGUUAUAUGCUACAUGUUACAUGACAAGAUGUUACAUGAUAACAAGCGAGCGUAGCGAGGCGCGAGCGAGUGGGGGUUGUAAGGUAGAUACGUCCCAAGACUUUGUUUUGGGCAGAGCUAAUUAAAUUAUGAUGGUUAGCUGAAGGUAGCUGGAAAGCUCCGCCAUAGAGGGUAAAAGCCCCGUAAGCGAAAACCGUCAUAUGCUCUGAGUAUCUAUCCUUGAGUACCAUGGGACCAUAUUAUCUCAUGGGAAGCAGGCAGUACUACCUGCCAAGGCUAAAUACCCUUCCUCAUUGAUAGUGAACCAGUACCGUGAGGGAAAGGUGAAAAGUAGCCCGGUGAGGGCGGUGAAAUAGAACCUGAAAUCACAGACCUACAACGAAACGGAGC